rnacentral:rRNA from 1 species
GAUGAACGCUGGCGGCGUGCCUAAUACAUGCAAGUCGAGCGAACAGACGAGGAGCUUGCUCCUCUGACGUUAGCGGCGGACGGGUGAGUAACACAUGGAUAACCUACCUAUAAGACUGGGAUAACUACGGGAAACCGGAGAUAAUACUAGCUAAUAUAUUGAACCGCAUGGUUCAAUAGUGAAAGACGGUUUUGCUGUCACUUAUAGAUGGAUCCGCGCCGCAUUAGCUAGUUGGUAAGGUAACGGCUUACCAAGGCAACGAUGCGUAGCCGACCUGAGAGGGUGAUCGGCCACACUGGAACUGAGACACGGUCCAGACUCCUACGGGAGGCAGCAGUAGGGAAUCUUCCGCAAUGGGCGAAAGCCUGACGGAGCAACGCCGCGUGAGUGAUGAAGGUCUUCGGAUCGUAAAACUCUGUUAUUAGGAAAGAACAAAUGUAGAUGUAACUAUGCACGUCUUGACGGUACCUAAUCAGAAAGCCACGGCUAACUACGUG